rnacentral:tRNA from 1 species
UAGGAAAUGGUGUAGUGGAAGCACUGAGGGUUUUGAUCUCUCUAGGUAGGGUUCGAGACCCUUUUUUCUAA